rnacentral:rRNA from 1 species
GCGUGGGUGAAGAAGGUCCUCGGAUUGUAAAGCCCUUUCGGCGGGGACGAUGGUGACGGUACCCGCAGAAGAAGCCCCGGCCAACUUCGUGCCAGCAGCCGCGGUAAUACGAAGGGGGCUAGCGUUGCUCGGAAUUACUGGGCGUAAAGGGCGCGUAGGCGGCCCCGCCUGUCCGGCGUGAAAUCCCGGGGCUCAACCCCGGGGCUGCGCUGGAGACGGCGGGGCUGGAGGCGAGGAGAGGGUCGCGGAAUUCCCAGUGUAGAGGUGAAAUUCGU